GCUCAACCGAAGAAGUGCAUCGGAAACUGGGAAACUUGAGUGCAGAAGAGGACAGUGGAACUCCAUGUGUAGCGGUGAAAUGCGUAGAUAUAUGGAAGAACACCAGUGGCGAAGGCGGCUGUCUGGUCUGUAACUGACGCUGAGGCUCGAAAGUAUGGGUAGCAAACAGGAUUAGAUACCCUGGUAGUCCAUACCGUAAACGAUGAAUGCUAAGUGUUGGAGGGUUUCCGCCCUUCAGUGCUGCAGCUAACGCAUUAAGCAUUCCGCCUGGGGAGUACGGCCGCAAGGCUGAAACUCAAAGGAAUUGACGGGGGCCCGCACAAGCGGUGGAGCAUGUGGUUUAAUUCGAAGCUACGCGAAGAACCUUACCAGGUCUUGACAUACUAUGUAAAUCUAAGAGAUUAGACGUUCCCUUCGGGGACAUGGAUACAGGUGGUGCAUGGUUGUCGUCAGCUCGUGUCGUGAGAUGUUGGGUUAAGUCCCGCAACGAGCGCAACCCUUAUUAUCAGUUGCCAGCAUUAAGUUGGGCACUCUGGUGAGACUGCCGGUGACAAACCGGAGGAAGGUGGGGAUGACGUCAAAUCAUCAUGCCCCUUAUGACCUGGGCUACACACGUGCUACAAUGGAUGGUACAACG
rnacentral:rRNA from 1 species